rnacentral:rRNA from 1 species
CUUUAAGUUUCAGCUGCGGCCGUACUCCCCAGGCGGCGGGCUUAACGGCUUCCCUGCGGCACUGACACGGCCCGUAGCCGUGUCAACACCUAGCCCGCAUCGUUUACGGCUGGGACUACCCGGGUAUCUAAUCCGGUUCGCUCCCCCAGCUUUCAUCCCUCACCGUCGGGCGCGUUCUAGCCGGCAGCCUUCGCCACUGGUGGUCCUCCCGGGAUUAUAGGAUUUCACCCCUACCCCGGGAAUACCGCCGGCCUCUCCCGCCCCCUAGCUGGGCAGUAUCCCCCGCAGUCCAGCGAUUGAAUCGCUGGAUUUAACAGGGGACUAACCCAGCCGGCUACGGAUGCUUUAGGCCCAAUAAGCGUCCCCACCACUCGGGGAGCGGGUAUUACCGCGGCGGCUGACACCCGACUUGCCCUCCCCUUAUUCCCCCAGCUUGCUACACUGGGGAAAAGCCAUCCUCAGCGGAUGGCACUCGGGGUGACCCCGUCGCGCUUUCGCGCAUUGCGGAGGUUUCGCGACCGCUGCGCCCCGUAGGGCCUGGACUCUUGUCUCAGUGUCCAUCUCCGGGCUCCCGCUCCCACGGCCCGUACCGGUUAUAGGCUUGGUGGGCCGUUACCCCACCAACAACCUGAUCGGCCGCAGCCCCAUCCUUGGGCGGCAUCUAGAAGCAUGGUCUAGAUGCCUUUUCGAUGAAGACCCAUUCCAGGUGUCCUCAUCUAUCGGGGAUUAGCCCCAGUUUCCCGGGGUUAUCCCCGUCCCAAGGGUAGGUUAGCCACGUGUUACUGAGCUGUGCGCCGCGCCUCCACCGUGGCUUGGAGGCGCACGACUAGCAUGUCUUAGUCCCACCCCGAUAGCAGUGGGGUC